AUUCAUUAGAAUGGUAUUAGUUAUGAUCUUUUAAGCUCAAAUAACUUGGCGGUAAAAUAUCUGUAUAGAGGAACCUGUAAAUUAAUUGAUAAUCCACGAUAGACUAUACUUUAUUAAUUUACUUGUAUAUCUCUAUAUUUUGGAAUGUUUUGUUAAAAAAUUUUCUUUUUCUUAAGAUUUAUGUUAGGUCAAGAUGCAGUUCUUAUGAAGUUUUUAUGGGUUACUUUAAUUUUAAAAUAUUUUAUGAAUUUAUUUAAUAAAUUUAAUUUAUGAAUUAGGAUUUAUUAGUAAUUUCAAUUAAUUAAUUGUUAUGAAUAAUGUACUAUUUUAUGCACA
rnacentral:rRNA from 1 species